AACGUAGGUGGCGAGCGUUAUCCGGAUUUACUGGGCGUAAAGCGUGUGCAGGCGGCUUAUCAAGUGGUGUAUGAAAUAUCCAGGCUCAACCUGGAGGGGUUAUGCCAGACUGGUAGGCUAGAGUGCGAGAGAGGGGCGUGGAAUUCCGGGUGUAGUGGUGAAAUGCGCAGAUAUCAGGAGGAACACCGAUUGCGAAGGCAGCUCGCUGGGACGUAACUGACGCUGAGACGCGAAAGCGUGGGGAGCAAACAGG
rnacentral:rRNA from 1 species